ACUAGCAUAUCAAUAAGCGGRGGAAMAGAAAYCAACAGGGAUUGCCCCAGUAACGGCGAGUGAAGCGGCAACAGCUCAAAUUUGAAAUCUGGCCCUCGGGUCCGAGUUGUAAUUUGCAGAGGAUGCUUCGGGCGAGGUGCCUUCCGAGUUCCCUGGAACGGGACGCCAUAGAGGGUGAGAGCCCCGUCUGGUCGGACACCGAGCCCGUGUGAAGCUCCUUCGAAGAGUCGAGUAGUUUGGGAAUGCUGCUCAAAAUGGGAGGUAUAUGUCUUCUAAAGCUAAAUAUUGGCCAGAGACCGAUAGCGCACAAGUAGAGUGAUCGAAAGAUGAAAAGCACUUUGAAAAGAGGGUUAAAAAGUACGUGAAAUUGUUGAAAGGGAAGCGCCCAUGACCAGACUUGGGCCCGGUGAAUCAUCCGGCGUUCUCGCCGGUGCACUUUGCCGGGCACAGGCCAGCAUCAGUCUGGCGCGGGGGAUAAAGGCUUCGGGAAUGUGGCUCCCUCGGGAGUGUUAUAGCCCGUUGCGCAAUACCCUGCGCCGGACUGAGGUACGCGCAUCGCAAGGAUGCUGGCGUAAUGGUCAUCAGCGACCCGUCUUGAAACACGGACCAAGGAGUCGUCUUCGUAUGCGAGUGUUCGGGUGUCAAACCCCUACGCGGAAUGAAAGUGAACGCAGGUGAGAGCUUCGGCGCAUCAUCGACCGAUCCUGAUGUUCUCGGAUGGAUUUGAGUAAGAGCAUACGGGGCCGGACCCGAAAGAAGGUGAACUAUGCCUGUAUAGGGUGAAGCCAGAGGAAACUCUGGUGGAAGCUCGCAGCGGUUCUGACGUGCGAAUCGAUCGUCAAAUAUGGGCAUGGGGGCGAAAGACUAAUCGAACCUKCUAGURGSUGGUUUCCGCCGAAUUCCCCCUUCCAGGGAA
rnacentral:rRNA from 2 species